CCCCAAGGGAGAAUGCAGAGGCAUGGACUGGCACUUGGAAAAAAGAGGGAGACCAGCGCAGUGACCAUUAAAGAGAACAGCCCUCUGGAAUUUGGCUGCCAAGAACAGGAACACAGGUGAAGAGGAAGAGAGUUGCCCCAGACUCUGACACGUGGUCCUGGCCAGGUAGCUCGGCUGGUUGGAGCGUCGUCCAAACACCAAAAGGCUGCAGGUUUGAACCUCUGCAGGGGUGAGUAAGGGAGGCAACUGAUGGGUGUCUCUCUCUCUCUCCGUCCCUCCCUUCUUCCUUCCCUGUCUCUUUCUCCUCUCUGUUUCUCUCUAAAAUCAGUAAACGUAUCCUCAGGUGAAGAUUAAAACAGAAAGAAUCUGACACAUGGCUCUAGGUAUGUGGCACCUAGACUCAGGGUUUCCCGAAAGGGCCAGCAGACUCAGAAAUGCAUUUGGGGACAGUCAGUGACUUGCUAAUGCUGUUUCUUGUGGUUGCAUUUAGAAUCAGUAGCUGAAGGAAGAUGGCUGGGCUGCUACGGGCAGAGAAGGUAGCGAGAAUUAGGACCUUACUGAGGACUAGUGAAGGAGAAUGCAGAAUGCUACCAGGUAAAGGAAUAAUCAUUAUCAAUUGCAGCUUUCUGGGGUCCUAUCAGGCUGGAAGCAGACAGCCCCAGCCACCCCAUGGCCCCUCUGUGCUCAUGGGCGCUGUGCAGACAGGAUCGGCAAGCCCGCUGCCAGCUGGUAGAAAAAGGUACAGCUUCUUGCACGUAAGGUAAUUGUCAAAUAGUAAAGCGUAAGUCAGAUUCCCUUGAUCUGAAAUGGCCAUUGUGCAGUAUGCUGCCUUUCAAAAUAACCAUUUGAGUCCUGACUGGGCUUGACCACCAGCACAGCAAUUAAAAGCAAAACAUAAAGAACUGUAUAGAGUGGUUUGGGUGACGCCUCAUGUUACAGGAGAUGCUUUCAAAUGCAUACAUAAGAAAGGAAGGUUCUCUAUAUGGCUUGGUGUCUUGGGCCCAGAAGCAGAAUGGACACAUUCUACCAUCUGAGGAAUUUAUGUCUUGGAAGUACUUAAAAGAAAUCAUAUCUUUAAAAAAAACAGAAAAAUUUACAGCUUCUUUAAGACACUGCAUUGUGAUCUCCCAGGAAACUGGGUAACUAACUAUAAAAAAAAAAUCUGAGACUUGGAGGUGAAUAGGGAGCGCCCCCUGAAGUUGUGCAAAACGUAACUUGCAUAACCAGGCACAACAGCUCUGCUUCUUAAUGACGGUGUCCUGGGGCCCAGGGAUGUCCAGUGUACUGUGUUAAAGAAGGCAUAAGCAUUUUAGAAAAACAACUUGAGUUGAAGUGGUAAAAAUGACACAUCUUCGAUAGAAAGACAUUUCCUGGAAAGCUGAGUGGUAGGGAUCUCCCGCUUCCUGGAAAAAACUGCUUGGGUGGGGUAUUGCUGGAAUAGUGCUUUUCCGUCCUCAUUUAUUAUCUGUACCACAGGUCCCUCUGUGGUUCGCCUAAAUACGGCCUUAGGUUUCCGCACCCCCAGCAGAUCCCGGCAGGCUUCCCAGCCUUGCGAGGGGGCUGUGGGCAGGGCACCGUCUCUGGCCAACCAAAUCCACGCAUGAGGGAGGCCCCGAUGGGAGGGGGACCUCUGCUUCCCCAACUGUGGGGAAGGAGCCAGUCACCUCCAGGGUGGCAUUUUGUAGCCUAGCAUUUUAACAGAAUGGGUUCUUUUUUUGCCAGCAAAGUGCCUAUUCCCCACAGAACCAGAGAUUUUGGGGCUUCGCCUCUGCCCACUCAUUGCCUCCGGUCUGUUGUUUUAGGGGGCACUCAGAAGAGAGAGGCGUGUCCUCCUCAACCACAGUGGACGCCCCAAGGGCUUUAAAACAGGCUGAGGCCCGCGUCCCGGCUCCAGAUGUUUGGGUUCGAUCGAACUAGAUGACAACUGGGCCAGGGAGGUUCUCAGAAGCUUCCUGGGUGUUUCCAGUGGCAGCCGCGGCCGAGCGGCAGAGGGCGCUGCCCCGGCUGUCCCGCCACGCUCAGGUCAGCCCAGCGGGCCUCGCCCAGGAGGGCGCAUUACAACCACCUGGGAGUUUUUUUAAAAAACCCGAAUGCCGAACGACACCUCCCAGGCCAGUUCAUGGGCAUCUCUGGGGUAGACGCAGGCAUCGGGACUUUUCAUGGCUACCGGGUGAUUGUAUUGGGCAGGCAGGGCUGGUAACCGUUGGGCUGUCCAGAGCCACAGCCAAGGGCGUGGUGGCAAAAUGCAGAGCGUCCUCCCCUCUGAGGCCUUACAGGGCCAUCCCAAGAGACCCAGGCAAAGCAGCAGAGACACCGGAGGCACUAGAAGAGGGUGAGUACCUGGAUCCCGCCUUCUCCCUACUGGGAGACAGCACGAGGACCAGAACUGGUCCGAGACCAAGAUGUGGGUCCCUCUCGUGAAAGGGUGGGUGGACCCUCUUCUCGGGACAGAAUCUGAGAGCAACUUCUUAAUUCUUUUCCCAGCAUUUCUCUCUUAUUGUGGAGUUAAAGGUAUGAGUUCCCUUAAUAUACUCACACCCCGGCAGGUGACGGGGACUGGUGGGGCACUGAGCCCUUUCUGCUGCCCGUCACCCCAACUCUAUAGUGGCUGCCUCUCAGGGGAGGUACUCACGGGGCUCCUUGGCAUUUCCUUCAUUGUUCAUUCCCCUGGGAACAGCGAUUCUCCAACUUGCUCACCCCAGGGGCAGCCCUAGUUCUCCGAGGUGGGAAGAAAAUAGUUCCUGAUUCAAAACUGAGUUCUAAUGGAAACCUCUUUCUAAUACCCUUUGUUUUCAUCGUUUUAAAAAUAAUAGCAGUUCGGGAAGAUUGUUAGAAAUAGCUUCAGCCUCUAGAGGAGCCAGGGAACGGAUGGCUGCUUCAGAAAAUGCGUGGGGACCACAGGAGGCUGAAAGACGGCCCCUCUCUCCUCCCACCCCCCACCUGCCUUUUUUGGCCACAAAGUUCACCAUACAGUCACCCCAGAUGUUUUUGCCCAUAAAGGUGAAGUCAGGACCCUGCCAGAAAUGCAAAUGGUGGAAGCAUGGCUGACCAGCCCCGAGAAGCAUGCAUGCAAAGCUCAAAACUUGGCUCGCUCCCACUCAGUGAGAACAGCAGCCCUGUUCCCCCAGGAAGCCUUUCCGGGGGAGCCCAUCACUCGCUGUUGCUCCUUUGCUGUCUUCGUGGUUUCCGGUCGUCCCACGUGUCUCAGGUCCUGCCCACUCUCGCCAGCUCCUGGUAGGGAAGCAGGCUUCUUGCUUCCUGUCCCUGACCUUGGUGUCUGCUGAAGCUGGGCCCUGAGUGCAGGCUCAAUAGCUGUGCUUUAGAAUGAUUUUGAAAACAUCAGCUAUUAAAAAAGGCAACAACAGAACAGGACAUCCCUGGGGACUCUUCCACCCAUGCUUCGCUGGGUUUGCUUCCUCUCCCUUCCGUCCCAUCUCCCAGAUUUACGGAGGUCAUGUUAAGUUCAGCUCCCUGCUCGCAGCGGCCAUGGAGCAGCACAGUGUUCGCAGGGCAGAGAGGAGGGAGGCCGCACGCCCCACCCCCACUGACUGUCAUGGUCGAGGACCCUUUCCCUGAGGGAGGAGAGAGAUGGGGGUGGGCUGGGGAGACCAGGGACUGGCAGAAGCACCCCACGCCCGCCCAGGCACCACCUUGAGCAUUAAAGCCUCUGGCAAGAAGAUUGCUGGGACAGUUUUGUCGAAAUUGCUGACUUUGUGUAUUUUUGGGGUGUAAAGCUGGGCUGAUUUUUUUUUCUUCCCACUCAGUGCUCCACACCCAGCCCACUCUCCAGCACUUUCUACAGGAUGUGACUGUGCCACAAGGGUCACUCAGUGGCUCCAGGGGACACAGGAGAUUCACACGUCGCUCUGUAUGCUGGGCUGCUGCAUGGGCUGGCCUGGGGUGGGGACCUGUGACCCUCUCCCUCGUCCUCCAGGCCCUGGACAGAUGAGACUCAGGCAGAAACGGACUGUUUGCAAUUCCUUGGACAGACCAGCACAGAAGAGAUGAUUCACUGGCUAAAGGUUGUGCCACACGCACUGAGCCCCCAAAUUGGACCCAGACAUGCAGGAAUAAUGUGUCACAGCAUGUUCUGCCCAUGUCCUCUGCUGAAAGCCACAUUUGGAGCUCGGGCUGAAGUUGUUGAAAUGUGGAGCUCAGAUGUGAUGACGGCUCAUGAGCCCACUGUGAGCCCGCCAACGUGUUUGUGCUUCCCCAGUGGACCUUGUGGGGUAACUAUUCACACCCCGUUUUAGACAUGGAGAAACCUGGAGGUCAGGAAACUUGUCCUGGGCCGUCCAGUGUGCGUGCAAUGGGGCUGAAGUUAAAACCCAGAUCUCAUGGGCCCCAGAACCCGAUCUCGCCAGUGAGGCGAGCAGUGCUGUCUUUUCGUUGGCACGUCUGCCCCAAGACUGGGUGUCCUCUGUUCUCAAUUACUCCAGGAAGGAUGAUGUUAAUUGGGAAUGAGUGAAUGAAUAAAUAUGGCAUAAAUCAUA